AGUGAUAGCACUGAGGAAAGCCGGUAGACCUAGAGGCCACUACCAAGUUCCCCUCCAUGUGAUUUGUUGAAUUCCAGACCAGGAGGACCAUCACCUUGGACAAACACUGCCUAUUUAAGUUCCAGCUCCCUUUCUAGCGUCAUGCAUUUCAAGGAAAUCACUUCUCUUAUUACAAGCAGCCAGAAAGAGCAGACAGUAAAACACAGACACUGAAACUGGACAUUGUAGAAGAUGAAUUAUGAGAGUGAUUUAUGAAAGAAAGAUAAUGGAGAAUUACAAUCGAUGGAGACAUUCAAAGACAAGACUUUGGCGCUACAUCAAAAG